GGUGGCACAGAAUCGGAGGCCCCGACUGUUUACUAAAAACACAACACAGUGCAAUCAUAAAUAUGGUAGUAUACUGUGUGAAAUUUGCCCGAUGCCAUUAAUAUAAGAAAAGUUAUGGAUUUGUUUAUUAAACAAUACUGUGACCUAUCGAAAAUCUGGUUAAUAGCGGUCUUAACUAUGAGGAUCCUAAGGUAGCAAAAUCAAUUGGCCAUUAAAUGUGGUCCGGUAUCAAUAAUGUAACGAUGGUCUCACUGUCUCUACAACUUGCUCAGUGAAAUUGAAUUACGCGUGCAGAUGCGCGUAGCCUCCAGGGGGACGGGAAGACCCUAUGCAGCUUCUACUGA
rnacentral:rRNA from 1 species